rnacentral:rRNA from 1 species
GAUGAACGCUGACAGAAUGCUUAACACAUGCAAGUCAACCGGAAAGUCGGUGUUUAACUUAGACUUGCGUGGCGGACGGGUGAGUAACGCGUAAAUAACUUGCCUCACAGUUAGGGACAACAUUUGGAAACGAAUGCUAAUACCUAAUAUUAUGAUAAUAGAGCAUCAUAGAUUUAUAAAAGCUAUAAGCGCUGUGAGAGAGCUUUGCGUCACACUCGCUAGUUGGAGAGGUAACGGCUCACCAAGGAGAUGAUGGGUAGCCCGACUGAGAGGGUGAGACGCCACAGGGUGACAGAGACGGCGCCCGUACGCAUGCGGGAGGCAGGAGUGGAGAAUAGUGGAAGAUGGACCGCGAGUGUGAUGCAGCAAUUCUGUGCGCACGACGAAGUUUUUCGGGAUGUAAAGUGCUGUAAGUAGGGAAGAAACUAAUGACGGUACCUACAGAAGAAGUGACGGCUAACUACGUG